CAUCAAAAGAUGCAUUUAGCCUUUUAGCUUCUUAGGCCAGUGGGAAGAUAUAGUUUCCAUCCUAAUAUCUGCUUUACCUGGGGGGAGAGCAGCCAUGUGUUUCUUUGUGCUCCACUCCACCUGCCAGCUGUGCCUUCUCUUGUGUUCGUUCUCCUCUGCACUGCCCCAUCCUAUGCUUGCUUUAGUGUACAAAUCCCAGAAACCAACUUCUCCAUUUUCUCUGAAUUAGGAAAUAUUAUCCCAGCCAGAGCAUUGUUGAAAAAUUAAAUUUAACAAAUAAAAGCAUAGUGACGUUUUAAAUAUAAAUCAGACACAUCCCCAGGAUUUGCUUUUAACUGCACACCUUCUAAGAAAUUAUAUUUUUACUCCCAGCAAAUUACCUAGCAGGAAGAAAAUGACAAGAGUAAUCUAUUUUUUUCACAGCUGGUCGGUUGGCCAGAGUUUCUCAUCAAGGCGUGCAUGCUGUUUGCUCCGCAGAUGGACAGCCUGGAUGAGCCAAAUCCAUGGAGCCUGGGACACAAGGCUUCAGUCACAGAAACGACCCUCGCUUUCUGUUUAUUCUCAGAUGGGAAAAUUGUAAAAGGAGAUCUAUAGACUCUUCCAGCUUGUUUCUCAGUUGUCUAAGAUUGAGUACGUUUGACUCCUGAUCACGUUUGAUUUUUGAUUUCUGUAUUCCUGGUGUUAAUACUUAGCCAACCUUAGUUUUGUUUUGUUUUGAUUUUUACAACUCAAGAUGACUUGCAAAGGCAUUCUGCAGUCUUGAGAGAAGAACAGUAGGGGGAAAAUACCUCAAAAUUUGGGCUCUUUGGAGGUAGGUCCUUCUCAACGGCAAGUCUAAUGAAUGUGAUUGUAUCCCAUUUUUGUAGAAAUUUCAAGUAAGGGGCCAAAUCUUAGCUGGAGCACCAGGCUGAGCUGUGAACACUAAAUGCCAGGAUGGACAGGGACAGAUCUGAAUAGGCCCAGAGGGUCACAAGGAACGUGAGGCCUCAUCACCCUACCUCACAUGCAAGGGUGGAAGGAG
rnacentral:lncRNA from 1 species